rnacentral:tmRNA from 1 species
GGGGGUGAUUGGCCUCGACUUGUGUUAGCCGGGGAACAGGUUGCGUGCCGAGGAUGAUGGUUGGCCUCGUUAAAAUCCAUCAAAACAAUAAACGCUAACAACAAUUAUAGCGUCGUCGCUGAAGCCGAGGCCAUUUUGGCCGGAGCUGAAGCUCCAGCCUUAGUUUAAUUAAAUAAACUAAGCCCUGUAACGGGGGGAGUCUGCCGCUUCGUUACUGGAACCAAGCAGGCUGGUUUUAAACCGCGCUUUCGGGUUUAAGAUAAGAUUAAAGGGAGCUGGUCUUGAACGGGUUUGGCCGUUGAAACGUUCAGGUCGACAAUAAAGACGGCCUACGCAUGUAGAAGCUUGAUCUUAGGAACAUAAGGACCCGGGUUCGAUUCCCGGCACCUCCACCA